AUUGAACGCUGGCGGCAGGCCUAACACAUGCAAGUCGAGCGAGCGGCGGACGGGGGAGUAAUGUCUGGGAAACUGCCUGAUGGAGGGGGAUAAAUCCUGGAAACGGUAGCUAAUACAGCAUACCAUCAGAUGUGUCCCGAUGGGAUUAGCUAGUAGGUGGGGUAAAGGCUCACCUAGGCGACGAUCCCUAGCUGGUCUGAGAGGAUGACCAGCCACACUGGAACGGAGACACGGGCCAGACUCCUACGGGAGGCAGCAGUGGGGAAUAUUGCACAAUGGGCGCAAGCCUGAUGCAGCCAUGCCGCGUGUGUGAAGAAGGCCUUCGGGUUGUAAAGCACUUUCAGCGGGGAGGCGUUACCCGCAGAAGAAGCACCGGCUAACUCCGUGCCAGCAGCCGCGGUAAUAC
rnacentral:rRNA from 1 species